UCCGGAGCAAUUCGGGAUUAGGCGAGUGGCGAACGGGUGCGUAACACGUGAGUCAUCUGCCUGAAAGUGGGGGAUAGCUCGCCGAAAGGCGAAUUAAUACCGCAUGUGUCCCGAAGCAAUUCGGGGUAAAGCCGGGGCAACCUGGCGCUUUUAGAGGAACUCGCGGCCUAUCAGCUUGUUGGUAAGGUAACGGCUUACCAAGGCUUCGACGGGUAGCUGGUCUGAGAGGACGACCAGCCACACUGGAACUGAGACACGGUCCAGACACCUACGGGGGGCAGCAGUCGAGAAUUUUUCUCAAUGGGGGGAACCCUGAAGGAGCGACGCCGCGUGGAGGAUGAAGGCUUUCGGGUUGUAAACUCCUGUCAUUUGGGAACAAAGCCUUACGUUAACUGCGUGGAGGUUUGAUAGUACCGAAAGAGGAAGAGACGGCUAACUCUGUGCCAGCAGCCGCGGUAAUACAGAGGUCUCAAGCGUUGUUCGGAUUCAUUGGGCGUAAAGGGCGCGUAGGCUGCGGGGCAAGUCGGGUGUGAAAUCUCAGGGCUCAACCCUGAAACUGCACUCGAUACUGUUCUGCUUGAGGACUGGAGAGGAGACUGGAAUUCACGGUGUAGCAA
rnacentral:rRNA from 1 species